rnacentral:rRNA from 1 species
GACGAACGCUGGCGGCGUGCCUAAUACAUGCAAGUAGAACGCACAGUUUAUACCGUAGCUUGCUACACCAUAGACUGUGAGUUGCGAGCGGGUGAGUAACGCGUAGGUAACCUGCCUGGUAGCGGGGGAUAACUAUUGGAAACGAUAGCUAAUACCGCAUAAUAUUGAUUAUUGCAUGAUAAUUGAUUGAAAGAUGCUAUUGCAUCACUACCAGAUGGACCUGCGUUGUAUUAGCUAGUAGGUGAGGUAACGGCUCACCUAGGCGACGAUACAUAGCCGACCUGAGAGGGUGAUCGGCCACCCUGGGACUGAGACACGGCCCAGACUCCUACGGGAGGCAGCAGUAGGGAAUCUUCGGCAAUGGACGAAAGUCUGACCGAGCAACGCCGCGUGAGUGAAGAAGGUUUUCGGAUCGUAAAGCUCUGUUGUAAGAGAAGAACGGGUGUGAGAGUGGAAAGUUCACACUGUGACGGUAUCUUACCAGAAAGGGACGGCUAACUACGUG